rnacentral:tRNA from 1 species
AGCGGGGUAGGGUAGCCAGGUCUAACCCGCAGGGCUCAUAACCCUGAGAUCGGUCGUUCAAAUCGACCCCCCGCUA